rnacentral:rRNA from 1 species
UACAGAGGUCCCAAGCGUUGUUCGGAUUCACUGGGCGUAAAGGGUGCGUAGGUGGUGAGGUAAGUCGGAUGUGAAAGCUCCGAGCUCAACUCGGAAAUGGCAUUGGAAACUACCUUGCUCGAGGGUUUGAGGGGGGACUGGAAUACUUGGUGUAGCAGUGAAAUGCGUAGAUAUCAAGUAGAACACCAGUGGCGAAGGCGGCUCACUGGACUGGUACUGACGCUGAUGCGCGAAAGCGUGGGGAGCAAACAGG